rnacentral:rRNA from 1 species
UGCAGUCGAACGGAUCCUUCGGGAUUAGUGGCAGACGGGUGAGUAACGCGUGGGAAGCUACCUUGUGGUAGGGGACAACAGUUUGAAAAGACUGCUAAUACCCUAUGAGCCCUAUGGGGGAAAGAUUUAUCGCCAUGAGAUGUGCCCGCGUUAGAUUAGCUAGUUGGUAAGGUAAUGGCUUACCAAGGCGACGAUCUAUAGCUGGUCUGAGAGGAUGAUCAGCCACACUGGGACUGAGACACGGCCCAGACUCCUACGGGAGGCAGCAGUGGGGAAUAUUGGACAAUGGGGGCAACCCUGAUCCAGCCAUGCCGCGUGUGUGAUGACGGCCUUAGGGUUGUAAAGCACUUUCAGCAGUGAAGAUAAUGACAUUAACUGCAGAAGAAGCCCCGGCUAACUUCGUGCCAGCAGCCGCGGUAAUACGAAGGGGGCUAGCGUUGUUCGGAAUCACUGGGCGUAAAGAGUACGUAGGCGGACUGAUAAGUUAGGGGUGAAAUCCCAAGGCUCAACCUUGGAACUGCCUUUGAUACUGUCAGUCUUGAGAUCGAGAGAGGUGAGUGGAACUCCGAGUGUAGAGGUGAAAUUCGUAGAUAUUCGGAAGAACACCAGUGGCGAAGGCGGCUCACUGGCUCGAUACUGACGCUGAGGUACGAAAGCGUGGGGAGCAAACAGGAUUA